rnacentral:rRNA from 1 species
AGAAUCAACGCUGGCGGCGUGCCUAACACAUGCAAGUCGAACGAGAAAGUGGAGCAAUCCAUGAGUAAAGUGGCGCACGGGUGAGUAACACGUGACUAACCUACCCUCGAGUGGGGAAUAACUUCGGGAAACCGAGGCUAAUACCGCAUAAAACCUAAGGGUCAAAGGAGCAAUCCGUUUGAGGAGGGGGUCGCGGCAGAUUAGUUAGUUGGCGGGGUAAUGGCCCACCAAGACGAUGAUCUGUAUCCGGCCUGAGAGGGCGCACGGACACACUGGAACUGAAACACGGUCCAGACUCCUACGGGAGGCAGCAGUGGGGAAUUUUGCGCAAUGGGGGAAACCCUGACGCAGCAACGCCGCGUGGAGGAUGAAUCCCUUGGGAUGUAAACUCCUUUCGAUCGGGAAGAUAAUGACGGUACGGAAGAAGAACGCCCCGGCUAACUUCGCGCCAGCAGCCGC